UUGAACCAUCCACUCAACAGGAGACUGCUUAGAGGAAUGACAGCUCAUCCCUCAGAGGGAAUUCAAUGUAGCAGCUUCUUCCAAAGCAAAAGAGCAUGAGGUCUGCAGCCAUAACACCCGCUGCUGUGGCCACCUGAGUCUGGGAAUGGCCUCUGAAAACAAGGUCUGCAGACAGACGUGGGGAGGGAUGAAGAGGAAGCACUGGAACAGAGGUAUCCACUGUGCCUUUGCUGUGGCUACAAUACCUGCUUCUCUGGACAGAUUUCUGCAGGAUGUGAUUCUUCUCUCCUUAUAGGACUCAGCCUUAGCUCUGCACUCAGCUGAUAUUCAAUGCAUCAGUGACAUGCUCAAGCACUUCUUCCUGCCAUCACACGAAGAAGGACG